GCCCGCGUAGUUCAAUCAACUUAGAGCGUCAGACUUUUAGUCUGAAUGUUGCGAGUUCGAGUCUCGCCGCGGGCG